GGCAGCACUCACAGAAGAACAGAGCAAUGCACACACACAGACUCCACCCCCAGCCCAUCUGACUACAGGAAGUGCCCUCCUCUGGGAGGAGGCUGAGGUCUGGGAAUAAAAGCAGAGCAGACACCAGAGGAGCCCAGCUUGGCAGCAGCUUCAGAGACAAACCUCCUCUCCAGAGGAAGAGCCUAGCCCACAGCAGAGACCAUGGAACUCACCUCAGCCUCUCUCCACAAAGCACAGGUCUCCUGGAGGGGACUCCUGCUCACAGUCUCUCUUUUAACCUACUGGAAUUCUCCCAUCACUGCCCUGUUCGUCACUGUUGAAGCAAUUCCACCCAUUGUUGCUGUAGGAAAUAGUGUUCUUCUAGCUGUCCACGAUAUGCCAUUGGAUUACGGUUUGUUUUCCUGGUACAAGGAAGUAAACUCUGGGAAGCAAUUUAUAGCCUCAUGUACUCCUCGGCCGAAUUCAAUAGCACUUGAGGCUGAAUUCCGUGAUAAGGUGGAAAUGUACAGAAAUGUAUCCCUGCUCAUCAGGAAUGUCAGUAAGGAUGAAGGAGGAAGAUACAGAGCAAAACUGACGGAUCUAAAACUUGAUAAUCGUUAUUAUUCUUUGGAUAUUAAAGUAUUCUAUCCUGUGACUACACCCUCCAUUCAAGUCAACAAAACCAUAGGCAAAGACCUGGUCUCUGUGUUCCUAAAGUGCCCUACAAUCGACAUUGAUAACUCUGUCAGAUGGUUCUUCAAAGGCCAGAGUCUGAGGAUCACCAAUACGAUGACACUGAGCCAGAACAACAGAACCCUCGAAAUAGUCCCUGCCAAGAGUAAGGAUUCAGGGAACUAUCAAUGUGAGGUAUCCAAUCCACUCGGUUCCAAGAUAAGUGACCCAUUCCAGCUGGAUGUAAUAGAUCCAGUGACUCCCCCCUCCAUCCAAGUCACCAACACCACUGUCAAAGAUAUGAUCUCUGUGUUCCUGACCUGCUUGUCAAAGGACACUGGGAUUUCCAUUCAUUGGUUCUUCAAAGGUCAGAGAGUUGAGAUCACAGACAGGAUGAAGCUGUCCCAGAACAACAGCACCCUCCAAAUAGUCUCUGUGAGGAUUGAGGAUUCCGGGGACUAUCAGUGUGAAGUAUCCAAUCAAGUCAGUUCCAAGAGGAGUGACCCCAUCCAGCUGGACAUAAUAGAACCAUUGACUAAACCCUCCAUCCAACUCACCAAUACCACAGUCAAAGACCUGACCACUGUGAUCCUGAAGUGCUUGACAAAUGACACUGGAAUCUCAAUCCAUUGGCUCUUCAAAGGCCAGAGUCUGAGAAUCACGAAUAGCAUGAGGCUGUCCCCGAACAACAGCACCCUGGAAAUAGUCUCUGCCAGGAUUGAGCAUUCUGGGGACUAUCAGUGUGAAGUAUCCAAUCAAGUCAGUUCCAAGAGGAGUGACCCCAUCCAGCUGGACAUAAUACAUGCAGUGACUACACCCUCCAUCCAAGUCACCAACAACACAGUCGAAGAUUUUAUCUCUGUGUUUCUGACCUGCUUGUCAAACGACACUGGGAUCUCCAUCCGUUGGUUCUUCAAAGGCCAGAGUGUGGAGUUCAAAGACAGGAUGCAUCUGUCCCAGAACAACAGCACCCUCCAAAUAUACUCUGUGAGGAUUGAGGAUUCUGGGGACUAUCAGUGUGAAGUAUCCAAUCAAGUCAGUUCCAAGAGGAGUGACCCCAUCCAGCUGGACAUAAUACAACCAGUGACUAAACCCUCCAUCCAAUUCACCAACACCACAGUCAAAGACCUGACCUCUGUGAUACUGAAGUGCUUGUCAAACGACACUGGGAUCUCAAUCCAUUGGCUCUUCAAAGGCCACAGUCUGAGGAUCACGAAUAGCAUGAGGCUGUCCCUGAACAACAGCACCCUUGAAAUAGUCCCUGCCAGGAGUUGGCAUUCCGGGGACUAUCAGUGUGAAGUAUCCAAUCAAGUCAGUUCCCAGAGGAGUGACCCCAUCCAGGUGGACAUAAUUGAUCCAGUGACUCCACCCUCCAUCCAAGUCACCAACACCACAGUCAAAGAUAUGAUCUCUGUGUUCCUGAAGUGCUUGUCAAACAACACUGGGAUCUCUGUCCAUUGGCUCUUCCAAGGCCAGAGUGUGGAGCUCUCAGACAGGAUAAAGCUGUCCCACAAUAACAGCACCCUCCAAAUAGACUCUGUGAGGAUUGAGGAUUCUGGGGACUAUCAGUGUGAAGUAUCCAAUCAAGUCAGUUCCACGAGGAGUAACCCCAUCCAGCUGGACGUAAUAGUUGAACAUCGACCUUCAUUAUGGGGUAUCAUUGGCAUUGUUGCCCAAUGUCUGGUGGGGCUGAUUGCAGUAAUAUUUUUACUGUUCAUCCUGUGGCGCAGACGUCGUGGCAGGGAGCCACAAAAUGAGAACAACAUUAAACAAGUGGACAAUGAGCCAACCAACCUCAAUGAGCCAACCAACCUCAAUGAAACCUCAAAAGAAGCCUCAAAAGAGAAACCUAAAAAGGACAAGAAGCCAAAAGGCAAGAAGUAAGAGCAUGCUCAGUGAGGACAACUGGACCCGUCUACCCACAGUCACGUGACAACUCUCCCAAUGAGGUGGAUGGAGCUUCACAUUAUUUCCUGGAAAACAAUGUCCAGCAACACAAAUCUCUAACUUCAGUCUUCCCAUCUCCACCAGCAGCAGCAACGGGCUUCUGAAAUAAAAAAAAAAUCGAUGGAACCUGUCCCAUUAGCUGCUGCUCAUGUA